AACUGGCCAUGAGUCCUGGCAGCAGGUCUGCAGCACACCAUAGUUGAAACUAGUCUGUGGGAAAUGAGUCAGAUGUCCUUAGCAGCUUGGUCUUGUAGAUGACUCCUAAUCCUUUCUCCUUUUGGGAUGAUCCGAGGAGAAGGAACAAGUUUCCCUGUUCUCUUCUCAAUCCUCAGCCAGGCUUAUCUCUGAUCUCACUUCUGAAGAGGAGCAUUGCUAACAAGUGGUCAGUACCCUCUUUAAAGAAUGACUCUCCAAUGACUCUCACCUCAAAACCAGAAUCUGUUCAUGCUAGGCUGCUUUGAGAAACCCUCUAGAAUAAGGAUGGGCCCUUUAAGAAGACCUUCAAUGUGGCUGUGAUGGUUGCAUCUCUAGCUGCCGUCUUUGACCAUCUCCUAGAUGAG
rnacentral:lncRNA from 1 species